CAGAUCCUUACCUUCCCUCGCAUCUUCCUAAAAUCUCAAUUUUUCAAUCCCCAUAAAAAAUCUCAACAACCCCUUUCCCUUGCAUUCACAAUCUAGCAAUUUUGUUUUGAACCCAGCUUUGGAAAACAGUAACCAUGGUUUUUACGGAGGUAGCAUUAAAGUGAAGAGGAUAUAUUAGGUCAAGAAAAACAAAUUCAUUCUUAACAAAAUAAGGAUUUUUAGAUUCUCAAACAUGGAAGUA
rnacentral:lncRNA from 1 species